rnacentral:rRNA from 1 species
AGCCCAACGAGAUCGGGAUAACACCUGGAAACAGAUGCUAAUACCGGAUAACAACAGAUGAUGCCUAUCAACUGUUUAAAAGAUGGUUCUGCUAUCACUCUUGGAUGGACCUGCGGUGCAUUAGCUAGUUGGUAGGGUAACGGCCUACCAAGGCGAUGAUGCAUAGCCGAGUUGAGAGACUGAUCGGCCACAUUGGGACUGAGACACGGCCCAAACUCCUACGGGAGGCAGCAGGC